UGGGAAGUCCUCGUGUUGCAUCCCU
rnacentral:siRNA from 1 species